GCUCCAAGGAUGCACAUGUGUUUUGAUAAAUUUAUAAAGUUUUGGAAAAUUUGAUCCUGAUAUUUCUGCAAGCUUUCUUCUUGCAUUAUGGAGGAGAGAAACACUGGGAGUUAUUACUCCACCAUUCCUGAUUAUGUGUUGAGCUUUGAUGUUACCAAAAUGAACUGAGAUAUGAAAUCCAUUCAGAUGUUCUUCCAGUUUGCAGUGUUGUACAGAGAGCAGUGACCCAAAGCUCAGGCCAUCUAUGGGGUGUCCUUUGUCAGCCCCCAGCCUACACGGAAGGGUGAAUGCCACAUCAGCUGUUCAGAAGUACACUGGUUGGAGCCUCCAAUGAACGUAUGACCAUGAGGUCCAUGAUCACUUUUCUUACAUUUUGCACUACCCAGAAGCACAUGACCCAAAGGACCUCUGAAACAGCCUUCUCAAGAGCCUGGUGAGUGACAACACUCUGAAAUAAUGAGUGCUAUCCUUUCUACUACAUUAUAUACAUUAAAGCAGGCACUCUUUAUAGUGCUUCGUCUCCGUUUACAAAGAUAAC
rnacentral:lncRNA from 1 species